CAAAGAUUUGACUCCAAGUAUUGGCAAAGAUGUCGGGAAAGAGACUUAACUACACUGUUGGAAAUGUCCACCGUGGAAGCUUCUAAUAAGAUCUGACAGCUUGUUUCAAAAUGAUCUGAUCCCUGGCCAUCUCUCCCCAUCAUCCGUUUGCUCCAGGAACACUCUUUUCCCUCAACUUCUAGAACAGCUAUCAAUGUGCAGUAUGAUACCCUCUCAUGAUGCUAAGCAGCAGCAGCAAGCCAUAGCACCCAGUCAGCAGGCAAUUGGGAGGAUAAACAAUCAAUACACCUAUAAC